rnacentral:rRNA from 1 species
GACGUAGGAUGCGAGCGUUGUCCGGAUUUAUUGGGCGUAAAGAGUUCGUAGGUGGUUCGUUAAGUCUGGUGUAAAAGACUGGGGCUCAACCCUGGGAUCGCACUGGAUACUGGCGGACUUGAGUGUGGUAGAGGCAAGUGGAAUUCCCAGUGUAGCGGUGAAAUGCGUAGAUAUUGGGAAGAACACCGGUGGCGCAAGCGACUUGCUGGGCCAUAACUGACACUGAGGAACGAAAGCUAGGGGAGCGAAUGGG